rnacentral:lncRNA from 1 species
GGAGUUCAUCUUCCUUAAUGAGAGUGUAGCACUAAAAGAAUUCAAGACUCAUUGUCCUAGUUGCUAAUUCUAAGAUGCAUUGCAAACAAGAUUACUAACAAAACUUUAGCCAUACUUAUCAAUAAAUGAAUCAAGCUCAAGCUUAAGUUUUCACAAACAGCCAUAGUUCCAACCUUUUGACAUUCAUUAAAGCUCAUGUGAAUCAUGCUUAUGCAAAUCAUGUGAACUCACUUGUCUUGGGACAGGGUCAUGAGACAAAGAUGAUCUCAUUUAAUGUUUAUGGUUUCCAUGCAGCUCAAGGGAUCACUCAAGAAGGAAUAAACUUUAACAGAAUGCUAAGGGUAAAAGGCAACUGGUGCAUACAAGAGCAGAAUCCCAUCUACCCAAUGCCCCAAAUCGGUCUUUCACCUUAACUCUACUCCCAUGAAGAUCACAUCCUAGCUACUCCUCUGUCAAGACAUUCAUUGCUUUAUCAACCCUCUCCUCACUUCACUCUCAUUCUUUUUCUCACCAGGGGAUUCAUCUUUUCAUCUUUUAACUCAAGCUUUGGGGUCUGAAUCUUCCACUUAGCUCUUUCUCACAUAACACUGUCUAGCCUCUUUUCUUUUCUUUUCAAACACUUGAGCCUUUUGGCUUCUUUUCUUUUCUUUUUACUUAGAGGCUAGACUUUUCUUUUCAAAACACAAGAGAUUUUCUUUCUUUACACAGCAGACCCCAAACCGCUUUCUUUUCUUUUCCAUCCCCUGGUUCUCAUCUCGAACUUUCUCUUUUCCACUCAGUGUUUCUCAAGAUCUCUUCCUAGCCUACUCUAUACUCAUGAUGCAGAGCUAGAUCUACAUGAGACUCUACUCUUGUCGCCCUAAACUCAACACUUUCUGUCAAGUUUAUUCAGAAAAAGGCCUCACAUCUCUCACUAUAGUGUUUCAGGCUUCAAGGAAGGUUUGGUUCAAGGCAGUGAACUGUCUCAAGAUGAGAGAACAGCUAUUUGAGCUAGCGAAAAAAUGGUAAAAGGGAUAAGAGAGCUCAAAUAUUUUAAGGGUACCCAUGAGUUCACAAUGACAUGCACAGGCAAUGAUAAUUAGAUUGUCAAAUUAUGGUUCUCACUUAGAUAAGGCUGGAACUAAUCAAAG